UGGGGAAUAUUGCACAAUGGGGGAAACCCUGAUGCAGCGACGCCGCGUGAGCGAAGAAGGCCUUCGGGUCGUAAAGCUCUUUUAUGAGGGAAGAUAAUGACGGUACCUCAAGAAAAAGCCCCGGCUAACUACGUGCCAGCAGCCGCGGUAAUACGUAGGGGGCUAGCGUUGUCCGGAAUCACUGGGCGUAAAGGGUUCGCAGGCGGAAUAACAAGUCAGAUGUGAAAGGCAUGGGCUCAACCCAUGUAAGCAUUUGAAACUGUAAUUCUUGAGAAGUUGAGAGGUAAGUGGAAUUCCUAGUGUAGCGGUGAAAUGCGUAGAUAUUAGGAGGAAUACCUGUGGCGAAGGCGACUUACUGGACACAAAUCUGACGCUGAGGAACGAAAGCGUGGGUAGCAAACAGG
rnacentral:rRNA from 1 species